AUGAUGAAGAUGAUGAAUGGUGCGUUGCUGAACGGUUAUGAUGAUGAAAACGCGACGAAGAUGAUGAAGUGUGGUAGUUGUUGCGAAUACAGGGAGAAGAGAAAGUGCAUAGGUGAAGCUUGGCACGAGAAGAUGAGAGAGCUUAGAGAGAACUUUGAGAGAUUUCUUUGUGAUGAUUCUCCAGAGAUUGAAGAAUUAUGGAAGGUUGAAGAAGAAAACAGAGAGAAGAUAUGA